rnacentral:lncRNA from 1 species
CACAGACUAUGGCACUGACAUUGCUGAGAAGGCACCUGACACUUACUGGAGAUUUGAACUAGCUGAGUUUCAGGGCCCAAGACUUCCAGCUGAGAGCAUGGGAUGGCUGUCUACCCAUCUGUGCAGACAACUGAAUGGAGCUGAGUGAGUAAUAAGCUAAAAGCAAAAGCAUACAUGAAAUUGAAAAACAACAGACACCAAGAAAUGUCACUUCCAAGUCAUAACCUACAUCUUCAGUCUGUGAGCUCCUUCAAGCAGUGAAGCUGUCUGGUACAAAAGGAGUCUGCAGGAGGACAGAGAGGAGGCUGAAGGCAUCAUAUCAGGACCCACAAGAUUUGAAAGACUUAAGACUUUGGGGAAAUGGGGUCCUGUUUUGAUUGUUAGUUUUGCCAAAGGUAGACUGCCUGCCUUUCUGGCUCAAAUGUCAGCAUGCUGGUG